GUCCCUUAUCUUAUCUUUUCCCCACACCAUACCACAUCCAAAUCGUAUCCUCUCUCACUUUCCUACCUCGUCGCCGCCCAAUCUUCUUGGCUCUCCUCCCCGACCUCUCCUACAACAAGCUCCACGGGCUCUCCGCCAAACACGUCAUGCUGCUGAUGUGAGGUUCAGCCAUGGCAUGCGAGCUCAUAGAAUUAGGGGCGGCCAUGGCCUGCAAGCUCUCACUGCAAAAUACGGCGGGGGCGACGAGCGAUCCCAUGGCCGAUGCUGCAAGCGAGGUGGAUGCCGGCGGAUUGGACGGCGAGGUCGUGGCGUCGCGCUUCCCCCCACUACCGGGUCAUCAUGGUGAAGUCGGCAUCCUUUCUUCAGAAACUCCAUCGUACUUACGAAAGAAUAAGGGGGGUAUUCCGGGAGAACGGACCUCUGCAAGGUUGAUUAUCUGGUAACUAACACCGGGGAAGGUGGCGGAAAGUAACUCUCGAACUAAAACUUAAGAAAAUAUCGAGAGCAAAGUCAGAAGGUACCAUGAUGAGUUUCAAGCCGGUAGGCAAUCGUUCGAUGCCUGUUACAGGGCGUGGAAGGGGUUCAAAGCAACGGGAAUAAGUAUUGUGUCUGAUACCAGAAUUGAUGAUCUCUCGGAAGGUGGCUCGUGAAUUACAUAUGAGGCCACGCGCGAGGAACAACCUUGGGAACAGGGGGUGUAUAGGAGAGUCAGGUUUCGAUCAUGUGGAACUGUGGGUUAUGGGCCCACCAUGUGUGUUAAAAGUAGGAAGGGUGAUGUCAUGUUGUAUGAUCAUGAUAGCGAGGCAUGCUGGAGAAUAGCCUGUUAGUUAUGUCGGCAACAACAUCGAUACCAAGGGCGAGGGAUGAAGAGAACCAUUUUCCUGCUCGUUAAACGAGGCGGACCAAUAGGCAAAGUUCUCGUCCAUCGGUGGCUACCGGAAUGUCAUCAACAAUAGUAACAGCGUCUUGCUGACAGAAUAGUAC
rnacentral:rRNA from 1 species